rnacentral:rRNA from 1 species
AUUGAACGCUGGCGGCAGGCCUAACACAUGCAAGUCGAGCGGCUGCACAGUGCUUGCUCCUGCAUUCAGCGGCCGACGGGUGAGUAAUGCCUAGAUAUCUCCCUGGCUGCGGGUGAUAAGGUCCGGACGUGGGCGCUCAUACCCCAUUCGUCCUUAGGGCGAACGUGGGGGAUCUUCGGAUCUUCCGCUCUCACAUGAGCCGAGGUCGGAUUAGCUAGUUGGUGGGGUAAAGGCCUACCAAGGCGACGAUCCGUCACUGGUCUGAGAGGAUGAUCAGCCACACUGGAACUGAGACACGGUCCAGACUCCUACGGGAGGCAGCAGUGGGGAAUAUUGGACGAUGGGCGAAAGCCUGAUCCAGCCAUGCCGCGUGUGUGAAGAAGGUCUUCGGAUUGUAAAGCACUUUUAGUGGGGAAGAAGAGCAGUAGGUUAAUACCUUGCUGUUUUGACGGUACCAACAGAAUAAGCACCGGCUAACUUCGUG